rnacentral:rRNA from 1 species
UACGUAGGGGGCUAGCGUUGUCCGGAAUCAUUGGGCGUAAAGCGCGUGUAGGCGGUCCGGUAAGUCCGCUGUGAAAGUCGAGGGCUCAACCCUCGAAUGCCGGUGGAUACUGUCGGGCUUGAGUACGGGAGAGGCGAGUGGAAUUCCUGGUGUAGCGGUGAAAUGCGCAGAUAUCAGGAGGAACACCAUAUGAAGGCAGCU